rnacentral:lncRNA from 1 species
ACAGAGCCAAAAUAAUGCAAAACAGAAAAUGGAUAUAUGUAAUAGAUCAAACUUAUUAUGAACACUCUAAUUAACUCUAUAUGCUGAAUUCCCCGAGACUCUUCGGUCUAAGCUUAUAAUUCCCAUUUGAACAUGAAAUUAGUCAGUUGGUCGAUUAGAGAUGUGGAUUUCAACCAGGAAUGCCAAAUGGAUGACAUCCCCUCCUCUGUCCCUGUACA